rnacentral:other from 1 species
AUAUCCCUGCCGUGUACGUUGAAGACUUGAUGAUUGGUGAACCAACACCAAGAUACCGGGAGCUUAUGCUUCUUGACGCUAAGGCGUAAAAGAGAGGGUUCCCACCUGUACCUAAAAGGUUCAGCCCAUCAUAUUCAACGGCACAGCGCGGGGAUAUU